UUUCAGGACUAAAAACACUGUGAUGUGCCCCAAGUCUCCUAGAAAGUAAACAUCCUUUUGAAAGCCUCAUUUCACAGCAAGGAGAACAGGAGACCGAGAGCACAGGAACAGCCAGAGAAGGUUACAAGCAGAUACAGAGGGAGAGAAAAAAAGGUGCAGGAUUCUAUACCCUUGACACAAACAUGCUGCUUGUGUUCACAAUGGCUGGAAUGGCUAUGUCACUGUGUUACAACAGAUGCCUAGUUACCUGAUAAAGAGACGUCUGAAGUGGAUUUGAGAAGGCAGUCCCUGCAAAACACCUAGGAAAGAUUUUUCUAGAGUUCAAGGUCACAAAAACUAAGAAUUUUUGUAAGACUCAUGGAGUCAAGUACAAUAGUCCCAGGCUGGACCAGCUACAUAAAGUCAAAGAGCCCAUGACAAGCAGCAACUCAAGGAAAUAGGUUUAGGAAAAUGCAGACUGCUAUCAUACUGAACCUCUCCAGAUUAUUCUCAAGUUAUUUAGCGACCUUCAUUCAGCCGUUCCUCCUGUGUAUAGAGCUUCCCUACAGAUGUAUGGUAAGGCCAAAAGUAUGACAGAAACGCAGCUUUCCUAUAAUUUCAGACUUAUUUUUUAAAGUCCUUGUUAUAAAGAAUAAUGACCCAAACUGGAACAAAAAACUUUCAUAUGCUAAAUAUAGAGAGAUCACGUACUAAGAAACACAAAGUGUAGCAGCCUAAGUCUCCCUGUUCCUAUUAUAACAAAUACUUUUUUGUGAUUUUUUUCUUUCUUUGCUUUGUAAUACAAGCAACAUUCUCUGAAUUUUUUUUUGUUUGAUGCACCAUAACUAGUGAAUAAUGGUUUUUAUACCAAAUUUGCAGAUUUCAGGUUUUCCUCAGUUCUUAGGUUUAAGUCAGAAUAACAUUCCCCACUCACUAGUGCCUGUUACCAUAAAGACAAAAAGCUACCAAAGGAAGAUUAGUAAGCAUCAGGAAAAUUCAGUUAGAAACAGUACCUUCCUUCAAAGAUAACAUUUAAAAUAGAUGAAACAGACAAACAUCAAAUCCAGAUUCACACUCAACCAUGAUAUGGAUGGGAGUAGGGAAGGAAUUUCUAUAAAGGACAAGUAACUCGGUUGGCCUUGGUUGCCCAGGACAGCCACAUCACACCAGGAGAAGUAGAUAUAAUUGAGGUGUUUUAGUAAAUUACAGAAUUUCAUAUUUUAUUGCCUUCAGUUUUGUCUCUUCCCCUUUUGUUAUGGUAAAUUCACAUCCACAUUCAGUUUAAAGAGAUAAAACCCACUCCACAAAGUAAACCAGUGCAUUUUCUCAAGAUCUAUAAAGGUUAUAAAUGUAUAAUAUGAAUUUUACUUAGCUAAUACUGCUUUCUCCAGUUAGUUAACUAUUUCAGAACUUUAAAAAUUUGAUUCCAGGAGACAGCCAAAUGCAUCUUUUUUAUUGAACUUAAAACCAGUAUAUGAUUGCCUUUGAUUCUCAAAGACUUCAGUACUGGUCUCAAGUGGUAGCUAGCAUAUUUUAUUUUCCUCUUAAAUUUUUAUUUUUUGGUAAUUUGUUCAAAUCUAAUUGCACCACCUUAUCAGACUGAUACCACAGCAUUAUUUGGCAUUGAAUUUUACACUUCGACAUAUAUCAACUUAAAUGGAUAAGAAUGGGAAAGACAAACAAAACUAAUCAGAAACAAAAUUAGUUUACUUCCAAGCAUAAUUCAGCAAAAG